AUAAAUGCAAGCUUGGUGAUCAUACGAGAUUAAAAAAUUGUAUUGUUCCAAACUUUUGACCUGUUAUGUGCAUACAUUGUUUACGUUGUUCUAAUAUAGAGCUUCUGUGUUACGCAUGGCACUAUUUAUUACCUUCUCUCCCGGCUGAGGUCUCAUCACAGAUACGCGGUCAUAUCCUCUCCUAAGCCACACCCACAGGGCAUCCAGUUUCCCCUGAAAGAUCCGAACACAACAGUGGUUGGAAGAAAUCAACACUUCAAAGCAUGCUGGUUCAAAGAAAAUAAAUAAGCUGGUAGAACAGUAACGGUUGGAAUUUAGUGGCCCAGACAUCUAAUUGACUGACUCAAAUUCUUCGGUGUGUAUUUUCAAUUCAUUGAAUAUUAAAGUUCCUCUUUAUUUGGGUGUAAAAUCGCUUUAAUGAGUACAUUUUUUUGCAGAAUCUAGGCCAAACUCACAAAUCACAAACUUCUCUUCAUUUCUCUCAACCUAUAUGUGUUUAAUUUCUCCCUCUCAGAGUGAACUGUCACACAACAUAAUCCAGAGGAAAGAAGGUGGAAGAGAGAGAGAGAAAAGGAGUUUGUUUUGUCGGGAAAUGUACCAGCUCUGCAAAGCUCAUCUCCCUUGGGUCAGCUCAGUUCAGUGUCUGGUUUAAAUUAACCCUCCCCUUCCAUCUGACAGAGACAUUAUGAAACAAUGCAAGAAUCACUUCCCGGACUGGCUGAGGCCACCACAGCACACACCGCUUCUUCUGCGCUCCUUCCAGUCUUCAGAUGAAUGACCAAGUCGAUCGUUGUCCACCAGAUGACCAUACCAAUCAAAAAAAUUAUACAAUUUUGUAACGACAUGAAGCUUUAUGUGCUUCAGUUGAAGAGAAGGUUUCCUGCAAGACUUACGUUCCCUCCUCCUUCAGUACCGGUGCUGGGCAGAGCAGGUACGUGUCUUCGACAACAAGAGGCCUCUUCACUGGAGAAAUAACAACACACAGGAAAAAAAGCAGUUUGAUAAAUGUCCUCAGGGUUGAUAUCAAUAAUUAGGUUUAAUUUUAAGAAUUGUUUGUAAAUAAUUUAACAACAUUUUACC